AACAGGGAGGUGGGUAGCAUGGGAGCAGCCAGAGCAAAAACACUUGUCUUAUACUGACCCAGAGCAAGUGAAGGCAUCACCAAGGCUGGAUCAGGCAGUGUUGUGAGAAGAGGGGAACGCCUCUGUGUAGCAGAAAUGGCCGAGGAGGUUUGAACGUGCUGCCUUGUGACAAAGUAUCCACGAUCCAGCUGAGAGCACUUGAGCAAUACUCCAUCUGAGAGGAAAAAUCAGAAGAGAGAAAAUUAAAUCUGUGUAGUGACACAGUACACACCUGAGGGAUCUGUCCGAAGAUGUGCAAGUACGGCCUGUAGAAAACCCGGCGAAAGAUGCGAUCCAAGCUGGGGUCGUAGGAGUACAGCAAAGCCUGAUUGGCCACUCCGUAAGCCAUGAGCCACACCAUUAGGAAGAAAAGGAAGAAGAAGAUGUCCUUCAUCUGGAGAGAAAAUAAAUAGUUUCCGUCAGUAUAAUGAAAACAUCCAGCUAAGUACGAUUGGUACGAUGUCAACGUGCGGGAUCGUUUCUCACCAUCUUGCCAACGAUGAUGAUUUUUGGUCCCAGCUGUUUGUGAAUGGCAAAGAUGUGAAUGAGACGCAGGGUGAAGACCAUGUAGUCCACACACAGGAUAUCCCGGCCUAAUUCAUAUGACAUCUUGAACAUCCUAAAACACAGAGUGAAGCAAAUACAGUUAGGCUACAGCACCAUCCAGUGGCCGAAAUGUAAGAGUAACUUCAGAUUGAAUCUACGAGACUCAGGACAGGAAAUAUGAGAUGAUUUAGGGGACAGUUAAAGCCUGUCUGGUACUUUUUUUAUCGUGUUGUAUUGAUUUAUGUCCAGUUUGCAUAGCAAGGGCAAUACAUUCCCUAACAAUAACUGUAAUCAACUCUAACUGCCAUGAACAUAAAUCUGAAUCAGGUUGAACUGUGCAUGUCCACUCUUUGACCUUGUGACAUGUAUGAAAACACACUGCUCUGUUUUGAAGGGUCAAAGCCAUUGAGAAAGUCUU